GAUGAACGCUGGCGGCGUGCCUAAUACAUGCAAGUCGAGCGGACAGGUGAGGAGCUUGCUCCUCUGACGUUAGCGGCAGACGGGUGAGUCACACGUGGAUAACCUACCUGUAAGAGUGGUAUCACUUCGGGAAACCGGCGCUAAUACCGGAUAAUAUACUGAACCGCAUUGUUCGAUAGUGAAAGACGGUGUUGCUGGCACUUAUAGCUGGAUUCGGGCCGCAUUGGCUUGUUGGUAAGGUAACGGCUUACUACGGCAACGAGGCGUUGCCGACGUGAUAGGGGGGUCGGCGACCUGGGAACUGGGCCACGGACCAGACGCCUGCGGGACGCCGCAGUAGGGUAUCGUACGCAGUGGUCGAGAGUCUUGCGGAGUGACGGCGCGUGAGUGAUGAAGGUCUUCGGAUCGUAAAGCUCUGUUAUUAGUUAAGAACAAAUGUGUAAGUAACCAUGCACGUAUUGACGGUACCUAGUCAGAAAGCCCCGGCUAACUACGUG
rnacentral:rRNA from 1 species